rnacentral:rRNA from 1 species
CAGCCGCCACGGUAAUACAAAGGGUGCAAGCGUUAAUCGGAAUUACUGGGCGUAAAGCGCGCGUAGGUGGUUUGUUAAGUUGGAUGUGAAAUCCCCGGGCUCAACCUGGGAACUGCAUUCAAAACUGACUGACUAGAGUAUGGUAGAGGGUGGUGGAAUUUCCUGUGUAGCGGUGAAAUGCGUAGAUAUAGGAAGGAACACCAGUGGCGAAGGCGACCACCUGGACUAAUACUGACACUGAGGUGCGAAAGCGUGGGGAGCAAACAGGAUUAGAUACCCGCGUAGUCCCUGUCUCUUAUAC